rnacentral:misc_RNA from 1 species
GAUGAAGAACGUAGCGAAAUGCGAUACGUAAUGUGAAUUGCAAAUUCAGUGAAUCAUCGAGUCUUGAACGCACAUUGCGCCCCCUGGUAUUCCGGGGGGCAUGCCUGUCCGAGCGUCAUUGCUGCCCUCAAGCACGGCUUGUGUGUUGGGCCCCGUCCUCCGAUCCCGGGGGACGGGCCCGAAAGGCAGCGGCGGCACCGCGUCCGGUCCUCGAGCGUAUGGGGCUUUGUCACCCGCUCUGUAGGCCCGGCCGGCGCUUGCCGAUCAACCCAAAUUUUUAUCCAGGUUGACCUCGGAUCAGGUAGGAAUACCCGCUGAACUUAAGCAUAUCAAUAAGCGGAGGA